GCCCAGGUGGCGGAAAUGGUAGACGCAAGGGACUUAAAAUCCCUCGGUCAAUACGGCUGUGCGGGUUCGAUUCCCGCCCUGGGCACCA
rnacentral:tRNA from 1 species